rnacentral:SRP_RNA from 2 species
UUUAUAGACCUAUGCAAUGGAAAUUCUAGGCAACGCUUCAGGGUGGGAACACAGCAGAGCACCUCGUCUUUUUGUGUGCCGUAGCAAUCUGUAAGGGG